rnacentral:piRNA from 1 species
GUCAUUGGCAGGUGGCUAGACAGAUGCAGCA